rnacentral:rRNA from 1 species
GCACGAAAGUUAGCCGGGGUCUUCUUCUCUUGUUACCGUCAUCAUCGUCACGAGCUAAAGAACUUUACAAUCCUAAGACCUUCAUCAUUCACGCGGCAUGGCUGCGUCAGGCUUUCGCCCAUUGCGCAAGAUUCCCCA